rnacentral:lncRNA from 1 species
GCGCGCCCGCAGCGCCUUCAAGCUGCUCCAGCUCGACCAGCGCUUCCAGCUCUUCCAGGGGGUCCGUUGUGCCGUUGAUCUUUGUGCCGCCCCCGGGAGCUGGAGCCAAGUGCUGAGCCGCAAACUGAGGGGGGUCCCGGGGUCCCAGGUGGUGGCCGUGGACCUGCAGGCCAUGGCGCCCCUGCAGGGGGUGCUGCAGAUCCAGGGGGACAUCACCAAGGUG